CACGAACGCCGGCGGCAGGCUUAACACAUGCAAGUCGAGCGCCCCGCAAGGGGAGCGGCAGACGGGUGAGUAACGCGUGGGAAUCUACCCAUCUCUACGGAAUAACGCAUGGAAACGUGUGCUAAUACCGUAUACGUCCUUCGGGAGAAAGAUUUAUCGGAGAUGGAUGAGCCCGCGUUGGAUUAGCUAGUUGGUGGGGUAAGGGCCUACCAAGGCGACGAUCCAUAGCUGGUCUGAGAGGAUGAUCAGCCACACUGGGACUGAGACACGGCCCAGACUCCUACGGGAGGCAGCAGUGGGGAAUAUUGGACAAUGGGCGCAAGCCUGAUCCAGCCAUGCCGCGUGAGUGAUGAAGGCCCUAGGGUUGUAAAGCUCUUUCACCGGUGAAGAUAAUGACGGUAACCGGAGAAGAAGCCCCGGCUAACUUCGUGCCAGCCGCCGCGGUAACAC
rnacentral:rRNA from 1 species